CUGCAGUCAGCCACACUGACCAAGCUCCUUUUCUCAAGGCGGCCCAGUGUGCAGUAGCUGGCAACAGUGGCCUCCUUGGUAGGGCACACAGCCUGCUGCUGGUGUUGGGUUGCCUGGGGACCCUAAGACAGCU
ensembl:snoRNA SNORA70 Small nucleolar RNA SNORA70